GGGCGCAAGGAAUGUUUUUUUUCUUUUCACCAGAAGCUCCUCCUCUAUUAUGUGGGGUUUAAUGCUGCUUACUUAAGACACAGAUAUUAUUUCACAUCGGGUAACGAUACUGAGUGGGCGGAGACUAAAAAUUCAAAGUUCACUUGGAUAAAAGGAGAACAGCCAGAAGUCUGCCUCAUUCUGACCAUCUCUGCAGGAACUGACCUUUGAUGUUAACUGCACCGAGAGGAAGCCAAUCCAGCACAGCAAGACCUUCUAGGACACAUCCCCACACAACAGGACAUGCCCGUAAUAUUACGAGGAAUGCAACAAGUAAGGACUACCACUUUAAUGUUAUUUUUCCAGGAAACAAUUACUUCUUGUUACUAAUUUACCCUGGUACCUUCUCACACAAUUUUAGAGCCUGCUUAUUCUUCUACUGUCCCAGGGAACUCUCCCUCCUUCUGUAGCCCAGUGCAGGUGCAGUCCCUCUGGGGAGAAAGCCAGACCUGUUCUUGAGCCCCCCCUGAGCAGCCACCCCGCCCCUUUACUGUAAAAGCUCUUUAUCUUUGCUUAUGAGAGCAGUUGGAUGCUGCUGCUGUAAAACUCCCACACUAAAUAUUUUCCUCUCACAUCAAUUGUCCACUCUUCAGUGCUGGUAUUUGUGUAAUUUGUGUAAAAAAAAGAAAUAAUGGAGUGUACAGAGUGCAGCUAAGGCCUCUGCCAUAAUUCUUCCGUUUUCUCUCUUUUAAUUCUCUCUGAAGGAAGCAGUCGUCAGAUGAGGGGACAAGGCACAGUUAAAGCCAAGUGAGUGCAUUUAUGACUUCCUCUGGGAGGAAGUGAGUAGCCUUCACCCCACCUGUGUCGCAAAAACACACACACCACAAACAUGGCAAACACACCCUCUGAUGCCAUGUGAACCCUUCGUUCAGAGUUUUUAACGUCCAAAUCAGUCGGAGUCCUUAACACGGAGACACACACACAAACAGAAAAAUAGUCCAUUGCACACGCACAACUAUCACAAAGUAUUGCCUGUGAAGUGAACAGUCUUGUGCGUCACAGCACGGUAACACAAUCAUUAUGGGUUUUUGUAAUCCAUAAUUAGAGACGCAACAACACACAAA